AGUUUGCUGGAAGCAAAAUCGUGCCACGAUCUUGGGAAAUCGUGACACGAUUCAGACACUUGUUGGUUAAGUUUCUCUGAUAAGGACUGGUCAACCUGGGGACCGUUGCAGAUCGUGACACGAUCUAGGGUAAUCGUGACACGAUUUCUUCAGGGCAGGACUUGUAUUUAAAGUGUUCUUGUGCUUUUUUGAAGACAACCUUGAGAGAGCUUAAGAGAGAAAACUUGGAGAUCAAAGAUGGGAUCCUUUGGGGUGUGUUCCUUUGAUGAGAGUGUAUCUUAGGUUGGGAAAACAACAUUGUAAUCACCUUGGGAUUAUGGGUUCAUAGUGUGAGGAUGGGAAAAUGCCAAAGGGUAGAUCUAGGGUUUUUUGUCUUGUGUAAAGCUUGAUAAGCUAGAUUCUUGUAACUCUUUUGUAACACAUUCACAUAUUGGAUUGGAGAGCUGCUCUCUCCCCCAGAUUAGGCCACAUUGGCUGAACUGGGUCAACAAUCUUGCUCGGUGUUUGUUUGUUUUCUUUUAUCGUUUAUCUUGUAUGCUUGUUAGCUCUUAGUGUGGUUUUGCUUUACAUUAGGCUUAGGAUGUUUUGUUGUUGUUAGCUUGGAGGCCAUUUGCACUCAUAGAUUAUCUCUAUCACUUGCUCCACACAUCAUUGAUUUAUUCUCAUUGGUGUGAAGGUUCAUUAGUUGAGCCGAAUUCACAACAAUUGGCGCCCACCGUGGGGCAUAGGCGUGAUUGAUAGGAGGUAUCAUGGGGUCAAAGUGGGACAUCGAGAAGUUCACUGGAAGUAAUGAUUUCGGGUUAUGGAAGGUUAAGAUGCAAGUGGUAUUGACACAACAAAAGUGUGUAGAAGCAUUGAAGGGUGAAGCGGCGAUGCCGGCAACCUUGACACAAGAGGAGAAGCGUGAGAUGGUAGACAAGGCAAAGAGUACUAUUGUCUUAUGUCUCGGAGAUAAAGUCUUAAGGGAUGUCGCGAGGGAAGCUACCGCGGCAUCAAUGUGGGAAAAGUUGGAGUCAUUCUAUAUGACAAAAUCUUUGGCUCAUAGGCAACUCUUGAAGCAACAACUCUAUUCAUUUAAGAUGGUGGAGUCUAAAUCGAUCUCGGAGCAACUAACGGAGUUUAACAAGAUUCUUGAUGAUUUGGCCAACAUUGAGGUUAACAUGGAAGAUGAGGAUAAGGCUUUGUUGUUACUUUGUUCAUUACCAAAGUCCUUUGAGCAUUUCAAGGAUACCAUCCUUUAUGGUAAGGAGGGCACUACUACUUUGGAGGAGGUCCAAGCGGCUUUGAGAACCAAAGAAUUGACCAAGUUCAAGGACAUGAGGGUUGAUGAAGGUAGUGAAGGCUUGAAUGUUACAAGAGGGAGGAAUGAGCAUAGAGGAAAAGGCAAAGGGAAAUCAAGAUCCAAGUCUAGGUCCAAGGGCUUUGACAAAUCAAAGUAUAAAUGCUUUCUUUGUCACAAGCAAGGUCAUUUCAAGAAAGAUUGUCCGGAUAAGGGGGGCGAUGGUAGUCCUUCAGUUCAAGUUGCGGAGGCUUCGAAUGAAGAAGGUUAUGAGAGUGCGGGUGCGCUAGUGGUAACAAGUUGGGAACCGGAGAAGAGUUGGGUUUUGGACUCGGGAUGCUCUUAUCACAUGAGCCCUAGAAAGGAACAUUUUGAGACUUUGAUUCUAAAAGAAGGAGGAGUUGUUCGACUCGGAAAUAACAAAGCUUGCAAAGUCCAAGGCAUGGGCAACGUUCGUCUAAAGAUGUUUGAUGGCCGUGAAUUCCUUUUAAGGGAUGUGAGGUAUGUUCCCGAACUUAAGCGAAAUUUAAUUUCCAUAAGCAUGUUUGAUAAUCUAGGUUAUUGCAGUAGAAUAGAGCAUGGGGUUUGUAAAAUUUCGCAUGGUGCAUUGAUUACGGUAAAGGGGUCUAGAAUGAAUGGUUUAUACAUUUUAGAUGGUUCUAUAGUAAUUGGUAAUGCAUCGGUAGCUAGUGUUGCAUCUCAUAAUAAUUCUGAAUUGUGGCAUUUGAGAUUGGGGCAUGUUAGUGAGAGGGGUUUAGUUGAACUAGCUAAACAAGGUUUGCUAGGGAAAGAUAAAUUGGACAAGCUAGAAUUUUGUGAACAUUGCAUACUAGGCAAACAACAUAGGGUGAAGUUUGGAAGUGGCAUGCAUCAUUCUAGUAGACCUUUUGAGUAUGUGCAUUCGGAUCUUUGGGGUCCUUCUAAGACUCCUACUCAUGGGGGAGGUUCCUAUUUUCUUUCUAUCAUUGAUGAUUAUUCUAGGAGAGUGUGGGUCUUUGUUUUGAAAAACAAAAGUGACACCUUUGAAAAGUUCAAAGAAUGGCACACUCUCAUAGAAAAUCAAAUGGGAACUAAACUAAAAGGUUUAAGAACUGACAAUGGCCUGGAGUUUGUUUCAGAGCAGUUUAAUGAGUUUUGCAGGUUGAAAGGAAUCAAGAGGCAUAGAACCGUACCAAGAACACUGCAACAAAAUGGCCUUGCGGAACGCAUGAAUAGGACACUUUUGGAGCGUGUGAGGUGUAUGAUUCUAGGAGCUGGGUUACCUAAGAGUUUCUGGGGUGAAGCCGUGACAACGGCUGCUUAUUUGAUCAAUAGAUGUCCAUCAACGGGAAUAGACUUCAAGACACCUAUGGAGGUAUGGAGUGGGAAACCGGCGAAUUACUCCUCUUUGAAGGUUUUCGGAGCUUUGGCAUAUGCGCAUAUCAAGCAAGACAAGCUUGAGCCUAGAGCUUUGAAAUGUGUCUUCAUUGGUUAUCCGGAAGGUGUGAAGGGAUACAAGUUGUGGAAAUUGGAAUCUAGUGGAAGAUCAAGAGUCUUGAUAAGUAGGGAUGUUACCUUUGAUGAGACCCGGAUGGGGAUGAAGUGUAAAGACUUAGAGACUCAAGUACCGGAAACUAUGGUGGAGAAAACUCAGUUUGAGGUGGAGCUUCCAAAUGAAGAAGAAGAAGAUGUAGAAGAUGAAGCUUCGACAUCGGAUACAAGUGGAACUCAACCGGUAGUGGAUCCUGAGUAUCUAUUGGCAAGAGAUAGAGAAAGAAGGACCAUUACGGCUCCUAAGAGAUUCGGUUAUGCGGACUUGGUGUGUUUUGCUCUAAAUGCGGCGGAAGAUGUGCAAGACUCGGAGCCUAGAAACUUCAAGGAGGCAUUUGAGAGCAAAGAGAGCAAGUAUUGGUUGAAGGCGGUGAAUGAAGAAAUGGAUUCAUUGGAAAGGAACCAAACUUGGAAACUUGUGAAACUACCUAAUCACCAAAGGGUAGUUGGAUGCAAGUGGAUCUUCAAGAAAAAGGAUGGCAUUCCGGGUGUUGAAGGUCCAAGGUAUAAAGCAAGACUUGUGGCAAAGGGUUUCACUCAAGUGUAGGGGAUCGACUACAACGAGAUCUUUUCACCGGUGGUGAAGCAUUGUUCCAUAAGGAUACUUAUGGCUAUAGUGAAUCAAUUCGAUCUUGAGUUGGAACAAAUGGAUGUGAAGACCGCUUUCUUACAUGGUGACCUUGAAGAGACAAUCUACAUGGAGCAACCGGAAGGUUUUGUGGAGGACAAGUCUAAGGUGUGUCUUUUGAAGAAAUCUUUGUAUGGGUUGAAGCAAAGCCCUAGGCAAUGGUAUCGUCGGUUUGAUGAGUUUCUUUUGAAGACCGGUUUUGUGAGAAGCGGAUAUGAUUCUUGUGUGUACAUGUUGAAGAAGAAUGAGAAAGUCAUUCUCUAUCUUCUUCUAUAUGUGGAUGAUAUCUUGAUGGCAAGCUCUAGCAAGGAUGAGAUUUUGAAGCUCAAGGAGAAGCUAAAUGGUGAAUUUGAGAUGAAGGAUCUUGGUCCGGCAAAGAGAGUUCUUGGGAUUGAUAUCAAGAGGAAUCGUGACAAAGGCGAACUUUUCUUAUCUCAACUUGGUUAUUUGAAGAAGGUGGUGGAGCGUUUUAGAAUGUCAAACUCUAAAACUGUGAGCACUCCCUUGGGUCACCACACAAAGUUGUCCAUAAAACAAUGUCCUCAAUCCGAGGAUGAGAAGCAUUUGAUGGAAGGUACUCCCUAUGCAAGUGGGGUUGGAAGCAUCAUGUAUGGAAUGGUUUGUAGUAGGCCGGACUUGGCUUAUGCGGUUAGCAUUGUGAGUCGGUUUAUGGCAAAUCCGGGAAUUGUGCAUUGGCAAGCUUUGAAGUGGGUUUUGAGGUAUUUGAAUGUGUCGUUGAAGGGCGGUUUGAAGUACACAAGGGCAGCUCAAGAUGAAGACGCUUUGGAGGGGUAUGCUGAUGCGGAUUAUGCGGGCAACGUAGACACUAGAAAAUCCUUGUCGGGUUUUGUGUUUACUCUUUAUGGCACGGCGAUUAGUUGGAAGGCAAAUCAACAAUCUGUGGUGGCAUUAUCUACAACUCAAGCGGAGUACAUCGCACUUGUUGAAGGUGUGAAGGAGGCCAUAUGGUUGAAAGGGAUGAUUGGUGAGUUAGGAAUUACUCAAGAAUGUGUGAGGAUGCAUUGUGAUAGUCAAAGUGCCAUUCACUUAGCAAAUCAUCAAGUGUAUCAUGAAAGGACAAAGCACAUUGACAUUCGCCUGCACUUUGUUAGAGACAUGAUUGAAUCAAAAGAGAUUGUGGUUGAGAAAGUGGCAUCGGAGGAAAAUCCGGCGGAUGUGUUCACCAAGUCAUUGCCUCGAUCAAGAUUCAAGCAUUGCUUGGACUUGAUCAAUUUUGUCGAAGAGUAAUUCCCUUUUGGAGAGAGCAGCAUGGUGGUUGAUGGUUAAAUUGACAUCACCACCAAAUUAGAAGUCAAGGUGGAGAAAUGUUGAAAAUUGGCUUCAAAUUUGUGGUUUGGGAGAAUAGAGGAAUCGUGUCACGAUUUGGCAAUCGUGACACGAUCGGAGAGGCAGUGAGCUAAGUUUGCUGGAAGCAAAAUCGUGCCACGAUCUUGGGAAAUCGUGACAUGAUUCAGAAACUUGCUGCUUAAGUUUCUCUGAUAAGGACUGGUCAACCUGGGGACCGUUGCAGAUCGUGACACGAUCUAGGGUAAUCGUGACACGAUUUCUUCAGGGCAGGACUUGUAUUUAAAGUGUUCUUGUGCUUUUUUGAAGACAACCUUGAGAGAGCUUAAGAGACAAAACUUGGAGAUCAAAGAUGGGAUCCUUUGGGGUGUGUUCCUUUGAUGAGAGUGUAUCUUAGGUUGGGAAAACAACAUUGUAAUCACCUUGGGAUUAUGGGUUCAUAGUGUGAGGAUGGGAAAAUGCCAAAGGGUAGAUCUAGAGUUUUUUGUCUUGUGUAAAGCUUGAUAAGCUAGAUUCUUGUAACUCUUUUGUAACACAUUCACAUAUUGGAUUGGAGAGCUGCUCUCUCCCCCAUAUUAGGCCACAUUGGCUGAACUGGGUCAACAAUCUUGCUCGGUGUUUGUUCGUUUUCUUUUAUCGUUUAUCUUGUAUGCUUGUUAGCUCUUAGUGUGGUUUUGCUUUACAUUAGGCUUAGGCUGUUUUGUUGUUGUUAGCUUGGAGGCCAUUUGCACUCAUAGAUUAUCUCUAUCACUUGCU
rnacentral:lncRNA from 1 species